GGGCGUGACAUCAGAGAGGCAUGGCUGACGGUACACUCAGGUGGAUCACCUCCACGGAUUUCAGACGCGGCAGGAAUCAGUUUGGACCCCAAGCAUGAAACAAAAACAGAGACCAAAGAGCCCAGCAUGCGCAUUUCUGAGCUCUAGAAUGUUUCCAGUGUCACCGAGUCAAUGCCAGCGGGGUUUGCGAGAACAGGGAAAGCUUCUGCCACACUCAAGGCAGCCAGCAGUGCUUCCUGAGGAAGGUCUACGAAGAUGGUAGAGUAGAAGAAUGUGUGCUCACUCCUUCGUGCAAGAGCACCAGAAUCACAACUAACUGCUGAACAAUCAUCAACAGGAAGACACUGGAAUUAACCAAAAAAGAUACCCCACAUCCAAAGACAAAGGAGAAGCCACAAUGAGACGGUAGGAGGGGCGCAAUCAUAAUAAAAUCAAUUCCCAUGACUGCUGGGCGGGUGACUCACAAACUGGAGAACACUUAUAGCACAGAAGUCCACCCAUUGGAGUGAAGGUUCUGAGCUACACAUCAGGCUUCCCAACCUGGGGGUCCGGCAACGGGACGAGGAAUUCCUAGAGAAUCAGACUUUGAAAGCGAAUGGGAUUUGAUUGCAGGACUUUGACAGCACUGGGGGAAACAGAGACUACACUCUUGGAGGGCACACACAAAGUAGUGUGCGCAUCAGGACCCAGGAAAAGGAGCAGUGACCCCAUAGGAGACUGAACCAGACAUACCUGCUAGUGUUCAGGGUCUCCUGCAGUGGCAGGGGUGGCUGUGGCUUACCAUGAGGACAAGGACACUGAGGACAAGGACACUGGGCAGCAGUUCUGGGAAGUACUCCUGGGCGUGAGCCCUCCCAGAGUCUGUCAGUAACCCCACCAAAGAGCUGGAUAGGCUCCAAUGUUGGGUUGCCUCAGGCCAAACAACCAACAGGGAGGGGACCCAGCCCCACCGAGCAGCAGAAAAGUGGAUUAAAGUUUUACUGAGAUCUGCACACAACCAGUCCCUCCCAUCAGAAACUUACACAAGCCUCUUAUAUAGCCUCAUCCACCAGAGGGCAGACAGAAGAAGCAAGAAGAACUACAAUCCUACAGACUGUGGACAAAAGCCGCAAUCACAGAAAGAGACAAGAUGAAAAGGCAUAGGGCUAUGUACCAGAUGAAGGAACAAGGUAAAACCCCAGAAAAACAACUAAAUGAAGUGGAGAUAGGCAACCUUCCAGAAAAAGAAUUCAGAAUCAUGAUAGUGAAGAUGAUCCAGGACCUCAGAAAAAGAAUGGAGGCAUACAUCGAUAAGAUGCAAGAAAUGUUAAACAACGACCUAGAAGAAUUAAAGAACAAACAAACAGAGAUGAAUACAAUAACUGAAAUGAAAAAUACACUAGAAGGAAUCAAUAGCAGAAUAACUGAGGCAGAAGAACAGAUAAGUGACCUAGAGGACAGAAUGGUAGAAUUCACUGCCGUGGAACAGAAGAAAAAGGAAUGAAAAGAAAUGAAGACAGCCUAAGAGACCUCUGGGACAACAUGAAAUGCUACAACAUUCACAUUAUAGGGGUCCCAGAAGGAGAAGAGAGAGAGAAAUAACCUGAGAAAAUAUUUGAAGAGAUUAUAGUAGAAAAUUCCCUAACAUGGGAAAGGAAAUAGCCACCCAAGUCCAGGAAGUGCAGAGACUUGCAGGCAGGAUAAACCCAAGAAGAAACAUGCCGAGACACAUAGUAAUCAAAUUGACAAAAAUUAAAGACAAAGAAAAAUUAUUGAAAGUACAAAGGAAAAAUGACAAAUAAGAUGCAAGGGAACUCCCAUAAGGUUAACAGCUGAUUUCUCAGCAGAAGCUCUACAAGCCAGAAGGGAGUGGCAUGAUAUAUUUAAAGUGAUGAAAGGGAAGAACCUACAACCAAGAUUACUCUACCCGGCAAGGAUCUCAUUCAGACUCGAUGGAGAAAUCAAAAGCUUUACAGACAAGCAAAAGCUAAGAGAAUUCAGCACCACCAAACCAGCUCUACAACAAAUGCUAAAGGAACUUUUCUAAGUGGGUAACACAAGAGAAGAUAAGGACCUACAAAAACAAACCCAAAACAAUUAAGAAAAUAGUAAUAGGAAUGUACAUAUCGAUAAUUACCUUAAACGUGAAUGGAUUAAAUGAUCCAACCAAAAUACACAGGCUCGCUGAAUGGAUACAAAAACAAGACCCAUAUAUAUGCUGUCUACAAGAGACCCACUUCAGACGUAGGGACACAUACAGACUGAAAGUGAGGGGAUGGAAAAAGAUGUUCCAUGCAAAAUGAAAGCAAAAGAAAGCUGGAGUAGCAAUACCGAUAUCAGAUAAACUAGACUUUAAAAUAAAGAAUGCUACAAGAGACAAGGAAGGACAAUACAUAAUGAUCAAGGGAUCAAUCCAAAAAGAAGGUAUAACAAUUAUAAAUAUAUAUGCACCCAACAUAGGAGCACCUCAAUACAUAAGGCAACUGCUAACAGCUCUAAAAGAGGAAAUCAACAGUAACACAUUUAUACUGGGGGACUUUAACACCUCACUUACACCACUGGACAGAUCAUCCAAACAGAAAAUUAACAACAAAACACAAGCUUUAAAUGACAAAAUAGACCAGAUGGAUUUAAUUGAUAUUUAUAGGACAUUGCAUCCAAAAACAGCAUAUUACACUUUCUUCUCAAGUGCACACGGAACAUUCUCCAGGAUAGAUCACAUCUUGGGUCACAAAUCAAGCCUCAGUAAAUUUAAGAAAAUUGAUAUCAUAGCAAGAAUCUCUUCUGACCACAGUGCUAUGAGAUUAGAAAUCAAUUACAUGGGAAAAAAACGUAGAAAACACAAACACAUGGAGGCUACACAAUACGUUACUAAAUAACCAAGAGUUUACUGAAGAAAUCAAAGAGGACAUCAAAAAAUACCUAGAGACAAAUGACAAUGAAAACACAAUGAUCCAAAAACUAUGUGAUGCAGCAAAAGCAGUUCUAAAAUGGAAGUUUAUAGGAAUACAAUCCUACCUCAAGAAUCUCAAAUAAACAAUCUAAACUUACACCUAAAGGAACUAGAGAAAGAAGAACAAACAAAAUCCAAAGUUAGUAGAAGGAAAGAAAUCAGCAAGAUCAGAGCAGAAAUAAAUGAAAUACAAACAAAGAAAACAAUAGCAAAGAUCAAUAAAACUAAAAGCUAGUUCUUUGAAAAGAUAAACAAAAUUGAUAAACCAUUAGACAGACUUAUCAAGAAAAAGAGGGAGAGGACUCAAAUCAAUAAAAUUAGAAAGGAAAAGGAGAAGUUACAACAGACACUGCAGAAAUACAAAACAUCAUAAGAGACUACUACAAGCAACUCUAUUUCAAUAAAAUGGACAAUGGGAAGAAAUGGACAAAUUCUUAGAAACGAAUAACCUUCCAAGACUGAACCAGGAAGAAAUACAAAAUAUGAACAGACCAAUCACAAGCACUGAAAUUGAAAAUGUGAUUAAAAAUCUUCCAACAAACCAAAUCCCAGGACCAGAUGGCUUCACAGGCAAAUUCUAUCAAACAUUUAGAGAAGAGCUAACACCCAUCCUUCUCAAACCCUUCCAAAUAAUUGCAGAGGAAGGAACACUCCCAAACUCAUUCUACAAGGCCACCAUCACCGUGAUACCAAAACCAGACAAAGAUACUACAAAAUAAGAAAAUUACAGACCAACAUCACUGAUGAAUAUCGAUGCAAAAAUCCUCAACAAAAUACUAGCAAACAAAAUCCAACAAUACAUUAAAAGGAUCAUACACUAUGAUCAAGUGGGAUCUAUCCAAGGGAUGCAAGGAUUCUUCAGUAUAUGCAAAUCAAUCAAUGUGAUACACCAUACUAGCAAAUUGAAUAAUAAAAACCAUAUGAUCAUCUCAAUAGAUGCAGAAAAAGCUCUUGACAAAAUUCAACAUCGAUUUGUGAUAAAAACUCUCCAGAAAGUGGUCAUAGAGGGAACCUACCUCAACAUAAUAAAGGCCAUAUAUGACAGUCCCACAGCAAACAUCAUUCUCAAUGGUGAAAAACUGAAAGCAUUUCCUCUAAGGUCAGGAACAAGAUAAGGAUAUCCACUCUCACCAUUAUUAUUCAACAUAGUUUUGGAAGUCCUAUCCAUGGCAAUCAGAGAAGAAAAAGAAAUAAAAGCAAUACAAAUGGGAAAAGAAGAAGUAAAACUGUCACUGUUUGCAGAUGACAUGAUACUAUACAUAGAGAAUCCUAAAGAUGCCGCCAGAAAACAACUAGAGCCAGUCAAUGAAUUUGGUAAAGUUGCAGGAUACAAAGUUAAUGCACAGAAAUCUCUUGCAUUCCUAUACACUAAUGAUGAAAAAUCUGAAAGAGAAAGUAAGGAAAUACUCCCAUUUACCAUUACAACAAAAAGAAUAAAAUACCUAGGAAUAAGCCUACCUAGGGAGACAAAAGACCUGUAUGCAGAAAACUAUAAGAAACUGAUGAAAGAAAUUAAAGAUGAUACAAACAGAUGGAUAGAUAUACCAUGUACUUGGAUUGGAAGAAUCAAUAUUGUGAAAAUGACUAUACUACCCAAAGCAAUCUACAGAUUCAAUGCAACCCCUAUCAAAUUACCAAUGGCAUUUUUUUACAGAACUAGAACAAAAAAAUCUUAAAAUUUGUAUGGAGACACAAAGACUCUGAAUAGCCAAAGUAAUCUUGAGGGAAAAAAAUGUAGCUGGAAGAAUCAGACUCCUUACUACAAAGCUACAGUAAUCAAGACAAUAUUGUACUGGCACAAAAUCAGAAGUAUAAAUCAAUGGAACAGGAUAGAAAGCCCAGAGAUAAACCCACACACCUAUGGUCAACUAAUCUGACAAAGGAGGCAAGGAUAUACAAUGGAGAAAAGACAGCCUCCUCAAUAAGUGUUGCUAGGAAAAUUGGACAGCUACAUAUAAAAGAAUGACAUUAAAACACUUCCUAACACCAUACACAGAAAUAAACUCAAAAUGGGUUAGAGACUUACAUGCAUGACCAAACACUAUAAAACUCUUAGAGGAAAACAUAGGAAGAACACUCUUUGACAUAAAUCACAGCAAGAUCUUUUUUGACCCACCUCCUAGAGUAAUGGAAAUAAAAACAGAAACAAACAAAUGGGACCUAAUGAAACUUAAAGGCUUUUGCACAACAAAGGAAACUAUAAAGAAGACGAAAAGUCAGCCCUCAGAGUGGAAGAAAUUAUUUGCAAACAAAGUAACGGACAAAGGAUUAAUCUCCAAAACAUAUAAACAGUUCAUGCAGCUCAAUAUUAAAGAAACAAACAACCCAAUCCAAAAAUGGGCAGAAGACCUAAAUAGACAUUUCUCCAAGGAAGACAUACAGAUGGCCAAGAAGCACAUGAAAAGUUGCUCAACAUCACUAAUUAUUAGAGAAAUGCAAAUCAAAACUACAAUGAGGUAUCACCUCACAUCAGUUGGAAUGGGCAUCAUCAGAAAAUCUACAAACAGUAAAUGCUGGAGAGGGUGUGGAGAAAAGGGAACCCUCUUGCACUGUUGGUGGGAAUGUAAAUUGAUACAGCCACUAUGGAGAACAGUAUGGAGAUUUCCUUAAAAAACUAAAAAUAGAACUACCAUAUGACUCAGCAAUCCCACUACUGCACAUAUACCCCAAGAAAACCAUAAUUCAAAAAGAGUCAUGUACCACAGUGGUCAUUGCAACAGUAUUUACAACAGCCAUGUCAUGGAAGCCACCUAAAUGCCCAUCAACAGACAAAUGGAUAAAGAAGAAGUGGUACAUAUAUACAAUGGAAUAUUACUCAGCCAUAAAAAGGAACGAAAUUGGGUCAUUUGUAGAGCCAUGGAUGGACUUAGAGACUGUCAUACAAAGUGAAGUAAAUCAGAAAGAGAAAAACAAAUAUAGUAUAUUAACGUAUAUAUGUGGAACCUAGAAAAAUGGUACAGAUGAACUGGUUUGCAGGGCAGAAAUAGAGACACAGAUGUAGAGAACAAAUGUAUGGACACCAAGGGGGAAAGUGGCAGGGGUGGUGGUGGUGGGUUGAAUUGGGAGAUUGGGAUUGACAUGUCUAUACUAAUAUGUAUAAAAUAGAUAACUAAUAAGAACCUGCUUUAUAAAAAAUAAAUAAAAUUCUAAAAUUCAAAAAAAAACUAAAAAAAAAAGAAAAGAAUACAAAUAACAAAUGUUGGUGAGGAUAUGGGGAAAAGGGAACUCUGAUACACUGUUGAUGGGAAUACAAAUUGGUGCAGCCCCUGUGGAAAACAGUAUGGAGUUUCCUCAAAGAGCUAAAAAUAGAACUACCAUAAGACCCAGCUAUUCCACUCCUGGAUAUAUAUACAUACAUAUAUCUGAAGAAAAAUAAAACACUAAUUUUAAAACAUACAUGCACCACAAUGUUCAUAGCUUCAUUAUUUACAAUUGCCAAGAUAUGGAAGCAACCUAAGGGUACAUCAGCAGAUGAAUGGGUAAAGAAGAUAUGGUAUAAGUAUACAAUGGAAUACUACUCAGUGAUAGAAAAGAAUAAAAAUUUUCCAUUUGCAGCAACAUGGACAGACUUGGAGGGUAUUAGGCUUAGUAAAAUAAGUUGGAGAAAGACAAACACUGUAUGACGUCACUUAUAUGUGGAAUCUAAAAAAUACAAUGAACUAGUGAAUAAAACAGAAGAGACUCACAGAUAUAGAGAAGGAACUAGUGGUCACCAGUGGGGAGAGGGAAGGGGGCAGGAGCAAUAUAGGGGGUUAAGAAGUACAAACUAUUAUAUAUAAAAUAAGCUACAAGGAUAUACUGUACAACGUGGGGAAUAUAGCCAAUAUUUUAUAGUAACUAUAAAUGGAGUAUAACCUUUAAAAAUU